rnacentral:rRNA from 1 species
AUACGGAGGGUGCAAGCGUUACUCGGAAUCACUGGGCGUAAAGCGCGCGCAGGCGGUCUUUUAAGUUGGAUGUGAAAGCCUACGGCUCAACCGUAGAACUGCAUCCAAAACUAUUAGACUAGAGUGUGGGAGAGGAAGAUGGAAUUAGUAGUGUAGGGGUAAAAUCCGUAGAGAUAACUAGGAAUACCAAAAGCGAAGGCAAUCUUCUGGAACACUACUGACGCUGAGGCGCGAAAGCGUGGGGAGCAAACAGGAUUAGAAACCCCAGUAGUCC